ensembl:lncRNA MYCBP2-AS1 MYCBP2 antisense RNA 1
AUCUAACUCCAGUCCAAUAUCCCCUAAGAAGCCUUCUCUGACCACUCCAGGGCACAAUGAUCUCAAGGUUCAGCAUCUCCAGAGAUGAGCUUUCCAAAUACCUGAUGAAGAUAUGCAUGUGAGAAGGAAUUAAUGACAGGCAUUAACACUAUAUUGGCCAGAGGACUCAUUAGCUGAUUCCGCAGGAGUCAGUGAUGCCACAAAAUGCCACAGAAUAUCAUGGAGAGAAGUGGUUUGGAUGACAUUACACAGAAGCCAGUUGAAAGCCUGAAGAAAUGACGGUUAAAUGAGUUCAAGAAUAAAAUACAUGAGUUUAAAAAGUACUCAGAAAUA